GACGAACGCUGGCGGCGUGCUUAACACAUGCAAGUCGAACGGAAAGGCCCUGCUUUUGUGGGGUGCUCGAGUGGCGAACGGGUGAGUAACACGUGAGUAACCUGCCCUUGACUUUGGGAUAACUUCAGGAAACUGGGGCUAAUACCGGAUAGGAGCUCCUGCUGCAUGGUGGGGGUUGGAAAGUUUCGGCGGUUGGGGAUGGACUCGCGGCUUAUCAGCUUGUUGGUGGGGUAGUGGCUUACCAAGGCUUUGACGGGUAGCCGGCCUGAGAGGGUGACCGGCCACAUUGGGACUGAGAUACGGCCCAGACUCCUACGGGAGGCAGCAGUGGGGAAUAUUGCACAAUGGGCGGAAGCCUGAUGCAGCAACGCCGCGUGCGGGAUGACGGCCUUCGGGUUGUAAACCGCUUUCGCCUGUGACGAAGCGUGAGUGACGGUAAUGGGUAAAGAAGCACCGGCUAACUACGUGCCAGCAGCCGCGGUGAUACGUAGGGUGCGAGCGUUGUCCGGAUUUAUUGGGCGUAAAGGGCUCGUAGGUGGUUGAUCGCGUCGGAAGUGUAAUCUUGGGGCUUAACCCUGAGCGUGCUUUCGAUACGGGUUGACUUGAGGAAGGUAGGGGAGAAUGGAAUUCCUGGUGGAGCGGUGGAAUGCGCAGAUAUCAGGAGGAACGCCAGUGGCGAAGGCGGUUCUCUGGGCCUUUCCUGACGCUGAGGAGCGAAAGCGUGGGGAGCGAACAGGCUUAGAUACCCUGGUAGUCCACGCUGUAAACGGUGGGUACUAGGCGUGGGGUCCAUUCCACGGGUUCCGUGCCGUAGCUAACGCUUUAAGUACCCCGCCUGGGGAGUACGGCCGCAAGGCUAAAACUCAAAGGAAUUGACGGGGCCCCGCACAAGCGGCGGAGCAUGCGGAUUAAUUCGAUGCAACGCGUAGAACCUUACCUGGGUUUGACAUGGAUCGGGAGUGCUCAGAGAUGGGUGUGCCUCUUUUGGGGUCGGUUCACAGGUGGUGCAUGGCUGUCGUCAGCUCGUGUCGUGAGAUGUUGGGUUAAGUCCCGCAACGAGCGCAACCCUUGUUCACUGUUGCCAGCACGUUAUGGUGGGGACUCAGUGGAGACCGCCGGGGUCAACUCGGAGGAAGGUGGGGAUGACGUCAAGUCAUCAUGCCCCUUAUGUCCAGGGCUUCACGCAUGCUACAAUGGCUGGUACAGAGAGUGGCGAGCCUGUGAGGGUGAGCGAAUCUCGGAAAGCCGGUCUCAGUUCGGAUUGGGGUCUGCAACUCGACCUCAUGAAGUCGGAGUCGCUAGUAAUCGCAGAUCAGCAACGCUGCGGUGAAAACGUUCCCGGGGCU
rnacentral:rRNA from 1 species